GGGCGAUCUGGCUGUGACAUCUGUCACCCCAUUGAUCGCCAGGGUUGAUUCGGCUGAUCUGGCUGGCUAGGCGGGUGUCCCCUUCCUCACUGCUCCAUGUGCGUCCCUCCUGAAGCUGCGCGCUCGGUCGAAGAGGACGACCAUCCCCGAUAGAGGAGGACCGUUCUUUGGUCAAGGGUAUACGAGUAGCUGCACUCCCCUGCUAGAACCUCCAAACAAGCUCUCAAGGUCCAAUUUUCUAAAAUCUUUCCAUGACCUCUGCAUUUCCCCCCACUUCUCAGCAAGUUGAAUGUGAAUGAUU
rnacentral:snRNA from 1 species